rnacentral:rRNA from 1 species
AUUGAACGCUGGCGGCAGGCUUAACACAUGCAAGUCGAGCGGUAACAGAGAGAAGCUUGCUUCUCUGCUGACGAGCGGCGGACGGGUGAGUAAUGCCUAGGAAUCUGCCUAGUAGUGGGGGAUAACUUGCCGAAAGGUAAGCUAAUACCGCAUACGUCCUACGGGAGAAAGGAGGGGACCUUCGGGCCUUUCGCUAUUAGAAGAGCCUAGGUCGGAUUAGUUAGUUGGUGAGGUAAUGGCUCACCAAGACCGCGAUCCGUAACUGGUCUGAGAGGAUGAUCAGUCACACUGGAACUGAGACGCGGUCCAGACUCCUACGGGAGGCAGCAGUGGGGAAUAUUGGACAAUGGGGGGAACCCUGAUCCAGCCAUGCCGCGUGUGUGAAGAAGGUCUUAGGAUUGUAAAGCACUUUAAGUUGGGAGGAAGAGCAGUUAACUAAUAUUUGACUGUUUUGACGUUACCGACAGAAUAGGCACCGGCUAACUUCGUGCCAGCCGCCGCCGUAA